GCAAAACGGCGUGGUACCAGCGGGGCGUUCGCAUAUGCAUUGCCUGUCACUUUUUGUGUACGACGCAUGCUAGUAUGACGAUUUCACGUGUUUUAUACGCCGGCUUCGCGCCUGUUGACACGCGAGACCACUUUCGAGGCGGUAAUCUGAAGAAAGGGCACCUUCUUCAGAAGGCGAAACAUGUGAAAUGCGUUCGCGAAGAUGUUUUCACGGACGGGACGUCAAAGAUAAGUGCGCAGUGCCUUGCCCAAACGAGCACACGCACGUACAACGUAACUGUUCAGCUUCAGUCACCUAGACCACGUGCAAUUCUCGAAGCACAUUGUACUUGUAAGGGAGGUGUGGCUGGCCGUUGUAAACAUGUAGCCGCCGUUGUUACUGCCAUAAACAACCCCGAAGACGACUCCUGCACUAGUGUGCCCCAAGCGUGGGGCAGGCCUGGAAGUCAAGCGUCAGGCAGCUACGUCCGGCUUCCUUUCGAAGAGCUUUAUCCAAGUGGUUCCAGGAAAGGGCAUUACGUCUAACAAGCACAGAGUGCCACAGAGUCAGAACAAGGGUAGCAGACUUCGAAAAACUUGCUGAAGCACUGAAAACCACCAGGCCACUGAGAACAGCGGCCACAGCAUACGGCACGCAGAUGGAGGGAGUUGCUGCAAAGGAGUUCCAGAGGAAGUUCCCAACAAUAGUGUAUCAGGCUGGGCUCUUGGUGCACCCUGAACAAAGAUGGCUAUGUGCAAGCCCGGAUGGGGUAGUGCGGCUGGCUGAUGGCCUUUAUUUGCUUGAAAUCAAAUGCCCAUUUGGCCGGAAAGGACAGCCAAUCAUUGAUUGCAAAUCUGAAACAAGCUACGUUCAGUACCUACAGUAUGAAGGAGGGAAGCUGGUGCUUAAAAAGUCGCAUCAAUACUAUACACAAGUGCAAAUUGCAAUGUAUGUCAUGAAUGUAACAGAGGCAUUCUUUUUUGUAUAUUCUGAUGCGCAGUCAGUGAAUGUGAUGGUAGAGCGUGACGAUGAUCUGCUUAGUGAACUUGUUCCAAAACUAGAGACAUUCUAUUUUACUCACAUGCUGCCAAGAAUGGCUCCCAGGUCUAAAUGAAUAUGUAAUUAGACCUUAAGU